GGCGGCAUGGCCCAGGCGGUAGAGCGGGCGGCCUAGGAAUCAGAAGCUUCCUGGUUCAAUCCCCGGCUCCUCCU